rnacentral:ncRNA from 1 species
GGGGAAGCCGGUGGGAAUCCGGCGCUGACCUGCAACCGUGAACGGGGCCGAAUGGCACCGUGAGUCGGAGUACCC